rnacentral:rRNA from 1 species
AACUCGGCAAAAUGACCCCGUAACUUAGGGAUAAGGGGUGCCACCAUCAGGUGGCCGCAGAGAAUAGGCCCAAGCGACUGUUUACCAAAAACAUAGGUUUCUGCUAAGUCGCAAGACGAUGUAUAGGGGCUGACGCCUGCCCGGUGCUGGAAGGUUAAGGGGAUCUGUUAGAGCAAUCGAAGCAGUGAACUUAAGCCCCAGUAAACGGCGGCCGUAACUAUAACGGUCCUAAGGUAGCGAAAUUCCUUGUCGGGUAAGUUCCGACCCGCACGAAAGGC